UUAAUUGAAGAGUUUGAUCAUGGCUCAGAUUGAACGCUGGCGGCAGGCCUAACACAUGCAAGUCGAGCGGCAGCACAAGGGAGUUUACUCCUGAGGUGGCGAGCGGCGGACGGGUGAGUAAUGCCUAGGGAUCUGCCCAGUCGAGGGGGAUAACAGUUGGAAACGACUGCUAAUACCGCAUACGCCCUACGGGGGAAAGAGGGGGACCUUCGGGCCUCUCGCGAUUGGAUGAACCUAGGUGGGAUUAGCUAGUUGGUGAGGUAAUGGCUCACCAAGGCGACGAUCCCUAGCUGUUCUGAGAGGAUGAUCAGCCACACUGGGACUGAGACACGGCCCAGACUCCUACGGGAGGCAGCAGUGGGGAAUAUUGCACAAUGGGGGAAACCCUGAUGCAGCCAUGCCGCGUGUGUGAAGAAGGCCUUCGGGUUGUAAAGCACUUUCAGUAGGGAGGAAAGGGUGAGU
rnacentral:rRNA from 1 species